GACCAAUGGGUAGAGAUGGAAUUCGAAGUUUGGCUUGUUAUCAUGCCAUUCACCGUCAUCAUUCAGAUGACUUUUCUUGUUUACACUGCUGUCUGGCACCUCCCUUUUUGCUAAUCCUUCCAGGUUCUGUUUCUACUACUGUGAUUCAGUAACCUGUCUGGCUUUGGGCUUCGCUUAAUCCAUAUCUGCCAACCAAUCAAAAUUCAGUAGCUGUUGUUUGCUGAUUGACAAGAUGUUUCUGUUCAUUCCUCAAAAAGAAAAAGGAGCACUGCAUCUGUGAAAGUGAUUUGAGUGAUGCCAAUGAUGGCAGUUACUCAUAAUAUGAGAAGGACUGAGCUCUACCUGUUUAAUGACCAAAAUGAAAAUGAGGUUUGUGGCACAGUUCAAAAAGAUGGCCAGUCCAAUGCAGGAACCAACGAAAAAACCAUUGUUCAUGAAGGAGCUGGAGGUCAUAAAUGAUUUCACAAUUCUGACAGUGUUGAGUCGUGAUGGAAGAAAUAAGCCUUUUCUGUGGUUCUCAUGCUUUGUUUUAUGGGAGAACAAUAACAGAAAUAACCCCCAAAUAAGGGAAAGUGUGGGAUCUACCAUGUGAAUGAGCCUGCCCUUGUUACACCUAUAGAUGAAGAGUACAAUCAGCCAACUUGUGUGAAAAGUUAUACAAAUGAGGAAGCAGCAACUUAUCUUCCUGGAUGGUUGAUGACUCCAUGAAUCUACCAUUGAUUCCAUGCUUAUAAGACACUGAUUUCAGCACAAGGCACACUUUAAAUGAGAUUUUUAGCAGAGAAGAAUAUCUCUAUAAUAUAGCGGAGAAGAACUGCUCUAAGACCACACCCAAACCACCAGACAACAUCAGAUGUUUCCAGAGGAAGAGAAGGCUGUAGGGGCUAGAGUAAAUGACUUUGAAUGCACCAGGAAGAAACUGUGCUGACCAUGUGUGACCUUGGGCAAAUCACCCUCUGGGCCUCAGUUUCUUUAUCUAAAAUAUGGAGGUGUUAGACAAGACCAGAGGAGUUAAAGACCUGGCUACCUGAGGCCCACAAUACUCCCAAGUGC